AGCCCUGUAGUGUAGCGGUCAAGCACAGGGGCCUUUGAAGCCCUUAACCCCAGUUCGAGUCUGGGCAGGGCUACCA
rnacentral:tRNA from 1 species